GCAAAUGUUUACAUUUGAGGGUAACCAAGGCAAUGUCUGAGAGGCCCAGGUGCCUGCGACUGGGAGCCCAGGGGCCACGCACUAAUGAGAGGAAAUCAUCACACUGGUUCUCCCCUUUCCACAGUGGAGGCUGUGCAGGGGAAACCCAAGAGAAAGAAAGUAAUCCAAUGAAACCUUCACAAGAACAUUCAGACCUUCAGAUCAACAUACUCAUGUCACUCAUUCGUCCACCGAGGAUUUAUUAAGUAUCGAGUGAAUACCGGAUCAGACACUACAAGAUGUGAAGACAAAGUACUCAAGUGCUGGUGUGCAUCAAAACCACUCAACAAACCUGUUAAUAAUAUAUACAUUCCUGAAGACUACCUCUGAUAUUCAAGAGAUAUGGGAAGAUUCCAGGAAUCUAUACUGUAUAACCAUCUCUCCCUGUGAUUU